GACGAACGCUGGCGGCGUGCCUAAUACAUGCAAGUCGAACGAGAGCGACCGGUGCUUGCACUGGUCAAUCUAGUGGCGAACGGGUGAGUAACACGUGGGUAACCUGCCCAUCAGAGGGGGAUAACAUCCGGAAACGGAUGCUAAAACCGCAUAGGUCUUCGAGCCGCAUGGCUUGAAGAGGAAAAGAGGCGCAAGCUUCUGCUGAUGGAUGGACCCGCGGUGCAUUAGCUAGUUGGUGAGGUAACGGCUCACCAAGGCCGUGAUGCAUAGCCGACCUAAGAGGGUGAUCGGCCACAUUGGGACUGAGACACGGCCCAAACUCCUACGGGAGGCAGCAGUAGGGAAUCUUCCGCAAUGGGCGCAAGUCUGACGGAGCAACGCCGCGUGAGUGAAGAAGGUUUUCGGAUCGUAAAACUCUGUUGUUAGAGAAGAACAAGUGCUAGAGUAACUGUUAGCGCCUUGACGGUAUCUAACCAGAAAGCCACGGCUAACUACGUG
rnacentral:rRNA from 1 species